rnacentral:lncRNA from 1 species
GGGUUUUCCACAAACUUCAGCACUGCCUCCAGGAGAAAUCAAGCCGCUGUUUCAGUGCAGCCAAUGCACAGUCCCUGGUCGGGGAUGCUGGGAAUAAUGCUAGUGCCCUCUCUGGAAAGGGAGCCUCCUGGGGCGUGUUGCUGGUCGGAGGGCCUGGCAGUGGGAAGACAGCCCUGUGCACUGAGCUCCUGUGGCCCAGUUCCCCCGCCAGCCUGCAGAGAGGUCUGCAUCGGCAGGCUUUGGCUUUCCACUUCUGCAAAGCCCAGGACUCGGACACACUGUGUGUCGGGGGGUUUAUCAGAGGUCUGGUAGCCCAGAUCUGCCAAAGCGGACUCCUCCAAGGUUAUGAGGACAAGCUAAGAGAUCCAGCCGUCCAAAGUCUCCUAGAGCCCGGAGAGUGUGAGAGGAACCC